rnacentral:misc_RNA from 1 species
GUAUUUUGAAUUAAGUAUUCAUAAUAUGUUAUCAGACGAAUGUUGUUAAAGAUAUAGGUUGAUAUUUAUGAAGGGAAAGAAAAGACUUUCCCAACAAACAUUGCACACAAGGUGGAUAUGGAUUUUUAAAGAGUGCCAUAAAACACUCGUUUGUGAAUGAUCCUUCCGCAGGUUCACCUACGGAAA